rnacentral:rRNA from 1 species
GAUGAACGCUAGCGGCAGGCCUCAUACAUGCAAGUCGAGGGGCAACAGAACACUUCGGUGUUGCUGGCGACCGGCGAACGGGUGCGUAACACGUAUGCAAUCUACCUUGUACUGGGGAAUAGCUCUCGGAAACGAGGAUUAAUGUCCCAUACUCUCCUAACAGCACAUGCUGAUAGGAGGAAAGUUCCGGUGGUACAAGAUGAGCAUGCGUCCCAUUAGCUAGUUGGUAAGGUAACGGCUUACCAAGGCCACGAUGGGUAGGGGUUCUGAGAGGAAGAUCCCCCACACUGGCACUGAGAUACGGGCCAGACUCCUACGGGAGGCAGCAGUAGGGAAUAUUGGUCAAUGGGCGCAAGCCUGAACCAGCCAUGCCGCGUGCAGGAUGAAAGCCCUCAGG